rnacentral:rRNA from 1 species
CCUACGGGUGGCUGCAGUAGGGAAUCUUCGGCAAUGGACGAAAGUCUGACCGAGCAACGCCGCGUGAGUGAAGAAGGUUUUCGGAUCGUAAAACUCUGUUGUUAGAGAAGAACAAGUGGGAGAGUAACUGUUCCCACCUUGACGGUAUCUAACCAGAAAGCCACGGCUAACUACGUGCCAGCAGCCGCGGUAAUACGUAGGUGGCAAGCGUUGUCCGGAUUUAUUGGGCGUAAAGCGAGCGCAGGUGGUUUAAUAAGUCUGAUGUAAAAGGCAGUGGCUCAACCAUUGUGUGCAUUGGAAACUGUUAGACUUGAGUGCAGUAGAGGAGAGUGGAAUUCCAUGUGUAGCGGUGAAAUGCGUAGAUAUAUGGAGGAACACCGGUGGCGAAAGCGGCUCUCUGGACUGUAACUGACACUGAGGCUCGAAAGCGUGGGUAGCAA